rnacentral:rRNA from 2 species
UACACAUGCAGUCGAACGGCAGCACGGGGGCAANCCCUGGUGGCGAGUGGCGAACGGGUGAGUAACAUAUCGGAACGUGCCCUGGAGUGGGGGAUAACUAGUCGAAAGAUUAGCUAAUACCGCAUACGAUCUACGGAUGAAAGUGGGGGAUCGCAAGACCUCAUGCUCGUGGAGCGGCCGAUAUCUGAUUAGCUAGUUGGUGGGGUAAANGCCUACCAAGGCAUCGAUCAGUAGCUGGUCUGAGAGGACGACCAGCCACACUGGGACUGAGACACGGCCCAGACUCCUACGGGAGGCAGCAGUGGGGAAUUUUGGACAAUGGGCGCAAGCCUGAUCCAGCAAUGCCGCGUGAGUGAAGAAGGCCUUCGGGUUGUAAAGCUCUUUUGUCAGGGAAGAAACGGUGAGGGCUAAUAUCCNUUGCUAAUGACGGUACCUGAAGAAUAAGCACCGGCUAACUACGUGCCAGCAGCCGCGGUAAUACGUAGGGUGCAAGCGUUAAUCGGAAUUACUGGGCGUAAAGCGUGCGCAGGCGGUUGUGCAAGACCGAUGUGAAAUCCCCGGGCUUAACCUGGGAAUGGCAUUGGUGACUGCACGGCUAGAGUGUGUCAGAGGGGGGUAGAAUUCCACGUGUAGCAGUGAAAUGCGUAGAGAUGUGGAGGAAUACCGAUGGCGAA